rnacentral:rRNA from 1 species
AUGGAAGAAGCCGGGCUCGAGUUCUUACUUGAUGCCUUAGACCGGUUAUGCCUGUGGAGCACACCUUCGGAUAGGAUGCCUUGCCCUUCACGUAUGAGUGCAUUUGAGCAGACAAUCCAGAAAUAUGCCGAAGAGCCAACAAGAAGCGUAAUAUUGCCAGAACUGGGGCUGGGUUUUGCUUCGCUGGGUGAGGGGAAGCCAGAAGCUGAGAACAGCAGAUCUUGCAGUUGUGAAUGCCUUGUAUUGGUGCGGCUUUUGUGGGCAGCUGAUAGCAUCUGGGAAAACAAUGUCAGUCUUGGUAAAGUGUACAACCUCAUAUGGAGUUUUAUCGGGACUGUCAAGAAUGUGCCGUUCACAAAAAGAAUGCUCAGGAACAUAUGUGGUAAGAUGAGUCGCGAGCAAGCUGAUGAUUUGGAGGCAACAAGCGUCUGGAGCAUCAACUUUGUGCCAGAUGAGGAUGCUCAAGUUGUCGACGAGGGGGAAGUGAUACAUCAGGACCCCAACACCAAACUGAUUGCAGAGAUGGAAGAAAAUGGAGCGGAUUCUGGCCUGGAAGAAGGAUAUGCUGAGAAUGAUCCUGCAGCUGUUGCGAUGGCCGCUUUCUAUGUGGACGGACGGCCAGCUAGCCAGCACCAUGUGCGCCCCCCGCUGUUCUGGCUCCGAUUGGGAGCUUCCGACCGUGGUGAUCUCCAAGCCCGACCUGGCCACGCGGCCCUCACCGCCGAGGACGCAGCGAUGGCCUUCCGCCCGCACCUCCUCUCCGGCCAGUUCCUCUUGUUCGGGUGCUCCGACGUGACGUUCACGCCGGCAGAGCCGUACCACCGCAUGACGCAGCAGGCGGUCAUCUCCGAACUCCUCUCAGCACGCCACGUGGCCACCUACGGGAGCAUCCACGGCAAGGAGCUGCACCGCCUGAUCACGAACCUCACCAAGGAUACUAAAGUGGGCACCCCGUCGACCUCAGCGUAUGCUUCCUCAACCUUGCUAACGAUGGAUGCAGUAAUUUGA